rnacentral:rRNA from 1 species
GACGAACGCUGGCGGCGUGCCUAAUACAUGCAAGUAGAACGCUGAAGAGAGGAGCUUGCUCUUCUUGGAUGAGUUGCGAACGGGUGAGUAACGCGUAGGUAACCUGCCUGGUAGCGGGGGAUAACUAUUGGAAACGAUAGCUAAUACCGCAUAAAAUUGAUUAUUGCAUGAUAAUUAAUUGAAAGAUGCAACUGCAUCACUACCAGAUGGACCUGCGUUGUAUUAGCUAGUUGGUGAGGUAACGGCUCACCAAGGCGACGAUACAUAGCCGACCUGAGAGGGUGAUCGGCCACACUGGGACUGAGACACGGCCCAGACUCCUACGGGAGGCAGCAGUAGGGAAUCUUCGGCAAUGGGGGGAACCCUGACCGAGCAACGCCGCGUGAGUGAAGAAGGUUUUCGGAUCGUAAAGCUCUGUUGUAAGAGAAGAACGGGUGUGAGAGUGGAAAGUUCACACUGUGACGGUAGCUUACCAGAAGGGGACGGCUAACUACGUG